ACGCACGCACAUUGCAUCCGGUGAGAACGUUCUCCUCCUCUGUUUAAUUUAAUGUCGUCAGUUUCACUAUAAACAAUCCGUUUUUGUAUCCGAAAAGAGAAUGAAUAGCAAAUUGCAGGCUUGGAAUUAGAAAUGGAAACCAUGUAGGGUUUGGAAUCAGAAGAUGAAGACAACGAAGAAGAAGAGCGGUAAAAGAGUCUAGGGCCAAAAAGAAGAAAAUGGUGGCGGAUUUCGAAUGUCUACAGAGGGUAACACUUUUUCUACCUGAUUUUCUUUUCUCUAUUUCUUUCUUUUCACUUACCUCCCUCUUUUUGUCAAUUCAUUUUUGUUUUUCCUUUCAAAAGGUUUCCAUUAUUCACCAUUUCGCAUCUUCAUUCGCUUUCUAACUCCAUUUAUGGAUUUCGAAUCUCUACAGAAUGGUCCUCUACACCAUCUUUAUUACCCUGGCUUUGAACAACCUUGGGUUUAGGAGUUUUCCACAAUUUAAAGCUUUUAGAUGAUGACAUGGGGACUGAGAUUAGUUUAUACUCUCCUUCUUCAAGUUGAAAGAAAUCAUAAAUCAUGACUUCCCCAGGUGGUGCUUAUCGAAAACUCUUCACAGCUAGACAUGCUAAAGGCACUGGUUAGAUAAGAAACUGGGAAUAAAGGGAAUUCAAACAUGCUAUAACAUGCUCAAGGCAUUGGUUAGAGAAGAGCGUGGGUAUCAAGGGAAUUCAAACAUGUUAUAAGUGAUGGAGAAUUUGUAGGCUGAGACAUGGAUAUGCUAUUGCAAGGUCUCAGCCUCAGCCUUUACCCGCCUGCAAUCCGCCCUCCGUUGUUUCCCACUUCCGAACCCGGUGAGUAAAUUCUUACUUUUCUUUUGAGGUUUUACAAGUUGUUCCAUUAUGUGUUUUUUCUUAUAUAAAUUUUGGUAUCAUUUUCUUCCCAAACCUGUACAUUUUGAUAAUUGAAUCCAUAUCCUCUAUUUAAUUAAUUGUUAAAAGUUUGUAAAUGUUUAAUUCAAUAUUUUCCAUAACAGCAAAGCUAUAUGUAGUCCCAUAUUUGGCUAUAUACAUAUAUGGUAUAUCCGUAACUUUAGCAAGGCAAUAUGUUCAGCUUAUACAAUUAGUAGUCUAAUAUAUAUUUAGGAAGAAGUUGAAAUUUGGAUUAUGACCAUACUGAUCAGUAAUCUAAUAUAUAUAUUUUGUAAAUGAAAAAUUUUAGGCACUAAAUUAAAAGUGCUUCAGUAUAACAUAUAUUUAGCAAAGAAAAUGUAAUGCAUCCCAUUAAUAAAUGAUAUCUUCUAUUCAAGGUUUAAGCAUCACUACCAAAUGAUAGCUGCUCUUAGCUCUAAAGGUUUAAGGUUCGAAUUGGGGUAGUUGUUGCUGAGUUGCUUUCUUUCCUGUGAAUUAGUCCUUUAGCUAUCACUGAGAGAUUUGGAUGCUGUAUAACCCUUUAGCUAGAGAAAGAGUUCGCUUCAAAAGAUCUAUUUCAUUCCCUUGCAAGUUUUGUUCAACUAACCCUUGUUUACACUAAUUUAUUCAAAAUAUUUAUGAGAAUUAUGUAUUUCACAUUCGUAGGCUAUGAUGUUCUUCUGAAUCGUCAUUUUUUAUUGUUUUUUAAAUUUUACAUAAUAAUACUCAGACAUGUCUUUUUGGUCAAUACCUUCUCAUAAGUUUUUUGUUUACGCUUUCCUCAUUUUAACAGUUGAUAAAUCGUGAAAAAUAUUACUUAUUUUUUAUACUUCCCAAUAAGUAUUAGAAAUAAUAGUUUAUUGUAUGUUACGUUUCGUACUUUUAAUCCUUCUUAAAGUGUCUUUAAGAGUCAGUUACAAAGUCUAAUGGUAUUGCACUUUAUUAACAGUCAUUGAGUAAGCUUUUGAUUUUCCAUGAGUUACAUUUCAGCUUUAUCUUAUGCUUAUCUAUUAAUUGCUAUUGAAAUUUCAUGUUUCAUACACUUUGGUUGUUUCAUACCCUCCUGUAAGUUUUUUUUAUGCUUUCCUCAUUCAAUUAGUUAAUAAGUCUUGAAUUAUAAUUUUGCUUAUUUUGAUACUUUCCAAUAACGGUUAGAUAUAAUUGCUUAUUGUAAGUUUUAUUUCCUGGUUUUAAUAUUGCUUAAUGUGUCUUUUAAGAGUCUGUUAUUUCCUGCUUUUAAUCUUGCUUAAAGUGUCUUUAAAAGUCAGUUACAAAGUCUAAUGUUAUUGCACUUUAUCGGGUGUCAUUGAGUAAACUUUUGAGUUUUUACGAGUUACAUUUCAGCUUUAUAAUAUAGCACUAUAAGAGGUAAUAAUUAUGAAUUAAGUAUCCUUUUAAUUUCACCUUAUUUCUGCUUUUUUUUUACCUUCUUUGUUCUGCAUUCAACAUCGCCAUUUCUUCGCCGCAUUUCGUUCCUAGGAUGACACGUUCAUGAGUUGAUAUUUCUGUCUGUUUUAAGUUCAGACUUCGAAAUUUUAUCCCUCCUCUUGGGGUUUUUUUUUCCCCUUCCUUCCUUCCUUUGUCCCUUGCUUUCUGAUUCUUCUUUCAUUGCAUGACAAAUUUUUUAUUCUUCUUUUUUGAUUAUGCAACAUUAAGUUUAUUGAUACAGUUCGAGCUGUGCAUGAUUUUCCUUUUUGCGAGCAAUUCCUGGAUUCAAUUUCUUCAGUGUCAAUUGGGUAUAGUUUGAGCAGUGCAAAGAUCAAUGUAGAAUAUGCUGAGGCAAAUGGUGGUACUUCCAAGGACACAAAACCUUUAGUCGAUAAGGAGCAUGUUUCUAUUUCUUAUCCUCUUAUUGCUAAAUGUUUUCAUGCUGUUGUUCUUCUCUUGACUUCUUUUUAUUUUGAUUAGUUUUUUUUUAUGGUAAUAGAUGAAGAUGGUUCCGGAAGCUGUAAUGCUAAACUCAUCAAACUUAUUGAUAAGGAGAAGGAUUCAUUUCUUACUUAGUUAUGUUUUUGUUUCGUGUUUUUUUAUCAUUUAAUCUAUUAUAUGUAAGUUUACUUACUUAAGUUAGUUUUUUCAAAGUUGACACCGAAAGACCAUAUUGGAUCAGUAAAGGCUAGGGUGAGUCAACAACUCAUGAAGCAUGGUGGAGACAUUUACCAGAAGCAAUUUAGACCAAAAAAAUAUUACUUAUUAUAGUCCUAUCUCAUAUAACUAUUACAUCUCUCUCUCUCUUAUCCCUUUCCCAUGAUUUUUUACCAUUACACCCCUCCCUUCUUUCCCCUGAUAAUAGUUGGGACCCUAGAGCAUUGGAAAAAUAAUUAUAAAAAAAUCAUAAUUUUUUACCUCAUUAUACUAAGUAUCUUUUUCUAUUUCUUAUAUUAUAAAAUUGUUGGAUUAAUUAUAAUUUUCAGUUUUAUACCCAAUUUGACAAUCCCGCUUGGAGAAAAAACAAA